rnacentral:rRNA from 1 species
AACGAACGCUGGCGGCAUGCCUAACACAUGCAAGUCGAACGAGAUCUUCGGGUCUAGUGGCGCACGGGUGCGUAACGCGUGGGAAUCUGCCCUUUGGUUCGGAACAACAGUUGGAAACGACUGCUAAUACCGGAUGAUGACGAAAGUCCAAAGAUUUAUCGCCAGAGGAUGAGCCCGCGUAGGAUUAGCUAGUUGGUGUGGUAAAGGCGCACCAGGGCGACGAUCCUUAGCUGGUCUGAGAGGAUGAUCAGCCACACUGGGACUGAGACACGGCCCAGACUCCUACGGGAGGCAGCAGUGGGGAAUAUUGGACAAUGGGCGAAAGCCUGAUCCAGCAAUGCCGCGUGAGUGAUGAAGGCCUUAGGGUUGUAAAGCUCUUUUACCCGGGAUGAUAAUGACAGUACCGGGAGAAUAAGCUCCGGCUAACUCCGUGCCAGCCGCCGCGGUAA